rnacentral:rRNA from 1 species
UACGAAGGGUGCAAGCGUUGUUCGGAUUUAUUGGGCGUAAAGCGCGCGCAGGCGGGUUUUAAGUCAGAUGUGAAAUCUCGGAGCUCAACUCCGAACGUGCGUCUGAAACUGAAAAUCUAGAAUACUGGAGGGGACAGAGGAAUUUCACAUGUAGGGGUAAAAUCCGUAGAGAUGUGAAGGAACACCAGAGGCGAAGGCGUCUGUCUGGCCAGCCAUUGACGCUGAGGCGCGAAAGCGUGGGGAGCAAACA